rnacentral:rRNA from 1 species
GACGAACGCUGGCGGCGUGCUUAACACAUGCAAGUCGAGCGGAAAGGCCACUUCGGUGGUACUCGAGCGGCGAACGGGUGAGUAACACGUGAGUAAUCUGCCCCUGGCUUUGGGAUAGCCACCGGAAACGGUGAUUAAUACCGGAUACGACCACUUCUCGCAUGGGAUGGUGGUGGAAAGUUUCUUCGGCCAGGGAUGUGCUGGCGGCCUAUCAGCUUGAUGGUGAGGUAAUGGCUCACCAUGGCUUCGACGGGUAGCCGGCCUGAGAGGGUGACCGGUCACACUGGGACUGAGACACGGCCCAGACUCCUACGGGAGGCAGCAGUGGGGAAUAUUGGACAAUGGGCGGAAGCCUGACCCAGCAACGCCGCGUGAGGGAUGACGGCCUUCGGGUUGUAAACCUCUUUCAGCAGGGACGAAGCGCAAGUGACGGUACCUGCAGAAGAAGCACCGGCCAACUACGUGCCAGCAGCCGCAGUAA